AGUCUCCAACGCUUCCGAUCCUCAUCCUCCUCAGGGUUCCUCCCCACCACCCUCCCUCGGCCCCCAGCGCGUUCUGCAGGUCCCGCGGUGGCCUGCUCGCGCUGGUGCGCCCCCACAGCCGGAGCCGUGGCGCGCAGGGCAGCUAUCCAAGGGCGGAACAGACACGUGAGGCCGUGGAAGGAAGCGCGCCAGGCUGCCUAGAGGAGGCAAAGCUGGAGGGCAAGUGGAUAACGUUCUGGAACACGGGCCCUUCCUGUGGGCUGGGGACCACCGUCCUCCACCCUCCACCAGGGCCACGCAGAAGGAAAGGAAAUAGAUGCAGAAGGAAGAGGGAUCAAGUAAGCCAACUUAGGCAAAAACCAGUGGAACUAGGAAGAAGAAAUGUAAAGACACAUGAAAUUUGUUAGAAUGGAUUUGUUGACAAAGCCAAUCUCUAAGGCCAGGCUCAUAAAAACAGAGGAUGAGAAGAAAGAGGAGAAAAACGAGGUCCAGAGUAUCAGGAGAGCUUGCUGAAGAAGAGGCACUGGCUAUAUAAAGGAAAGAACCACUUAAAAAGGAAAUGAGAAGAUAAUGGAUUUUAGCCCCUCUAUUAUUACCUUGAGCUAUCCUGCAGAGCAGCAGUUCCUGUGGCCCCUUCCCUGCCUGUACACUUGGUGAACAGCAGGAACUGAAGCACAAAUCUCACCUCAAAUGGUCAGUGUGGCACCCCAAAAUCACUUCCCAAUGUUUUAAGAGUAACACUCCUGUUUCUUAGCAUGGACCCAUUAUUUUAUAAACUACAACUAUUAAAAAUGAUUUACAGUCACUUGCCAACUUUACGAUUCUGUUGGACUCACUUGAAUAUUACCCUGCUCUUAAAAAGAGGAUAGCCGGUCAAAGUGUGUCCACUCUCAAAAUGGCAUGGGUUUUGAUGACUACUGUUUCCAGAGUUGAAAUCUACACCACGACUCAGGUCAGUCUUACCUCUCCAACAUCCCUUGUUCUGUUUGACCUUACUUCCUGUCUCCUAGAUCUUCUCUCUUAUAUCAGCUUCUUUGUACCUUGGAGCUUUCUUUCACUAAAGAUAUCUCUGGAUUUUUACCAGUUUAGUCCUCUCCUUCCAAA